AGAGUUUGAUCAUGGCUCAGAUUGAACGCUGGCGGCAGGCCUAACACAUGCAAGUCGAACGGUAACAGGAAGAAGCUUGCUUCUUUGCUGACGAGUGGCGGACGGGUGAGUAAUGUCUGGGAAACUGCCUGAUGGAGGGGGAUAACUACUGGAAACGGUAGCUAAUACCGCAUAACGUCGCAAGACCAAAGAGGGGGACCUUCGGGCCUCUUGCCAUCGGAUGUGCCCAGAUGGGAUUAGCUUGUUGGUGGGGUAACGGCUCACCAAGGCGACGAUCCCUAGCUGGUCUGAGAGGAUGACCAGCCACACUGGAACUGAGACACGGUCCAGACUCCUACGGGAGGCAGCAGUGGGGAAUAUUGCACAAUGGGCGCAAGCCUGAUGCAGCGACGCCGCGUGCGGGAUGACGGCCUUCGGGUUGUAAACCGCUUUUGACUGGGAGCAAGCCCUUCGGGGUGAGUGUACCUUUCGAAUAAGCACCGGCUAACUACGUGCCAGCAGCCGCGGUAAUACGUAGGGUGCAAGCGUUAUCCGGAAUUAUUGGGCGUAAAGGGCUCGUAGGCGGUUCGUCGCGUCCGGUGUGAAAGUCCAUCGCUUAACGGUGGAUCCGCGCCGGGUACGGGCGGGCUUGAGUGCGGUAGGGGAGACUGGAAUUCCCGGUGUAACGGUGGAAUGUGUAGAUAUCGGGAAGAACACCAAUGGCGAAGGCAGGUCUCUGGGCCGUUACUGACGCUGAGGAGCGAAAGCGUGGGGAGCGAACAGGAUUAGAUACCCUGGUAGUCCACGCCGUAAACGGUGGAUGCUGGAUGUGGGGCCCGUUCCACGGGUUCCGUGUCGGAGCUAACGCGUUAAGCAUCCCGCCUGGGGAGUACGGCCGCAAGGCUAAAACUCAAAGAAAUUGACGGGGGCCCGCACAAGCGGCGGAGCAUGCGGAUUAAUUCGAUGCAACGCGAAGAACCUUACCUGGGCUUGACAUGUUCCCGACGGUCGUAGAGAUACGGCUUCCCUUCGGGGCGGGUUCACAGGUGGUGCAUGGUCGUCGUCAGCUCGUGUCGUGAGAUGUUGGGUUAAGUCCCGCAACGAGCGCAACCCU
rnacentral:rRNA from 1 species